rnacentral:rRNA from 1 species
ACGCUCGACACCUACGGGAGGCAGCAGUGGGGAAUAUUGCACAAUGGGGGAAACCCUGAUGCAGCGACGCCGCGUGAGCGAAGAAGUAUUUCGGUAUGUAAAGCUCUAUCAGCAGGGAAGAAACUGACGGUACCUGACCAAGAAGCACCGGCUAAAUACGUGCCAGCAGCCGGGUAAUCUGAGCGGGCUGGCAAGGC